GCGUCGUCUCAGUCGGUUCGAUAGUACUUUUUGGACGUUGGUCACGACGUAACGAAACCUAAAGUAAAAAUAUUUGUAACACCUGGUGUGACGUUCGUGAGGCAAUGGGUUGCGGAAGAAUGGAUGAAAAGUCGAUCUUUUACAGCAACCCCAAACGAAAACAGUCAUGUUAGAAAGCCAGUGAACCGGAAGAAACGGCCUUCAAGCCAGGAUUGACGGGAAUCCCUUAUCGGUUAAAGUCUUAACUCGGACUCUUGUACUCUCAGCAAUUUGACCGCCUGAAGGAAACAAGCCCAGGAGUGCACACCGAACGGGAGGGUAAUUGAGUUUCACCAAGACAACGCCAGACCUCGCAAAGUGACUCCGUGAGAUUGGUUGGGAGUUUUCAUAGUUCGGAUCUGUACCUGUCUAUGGCGAAUAAUUUGGUUGGUAAAAGGUUGCGGAAAUCGAUUUCUCAAUUUUUUUCCAAUAAGGUCUAGAGCGAUAUAUUGCCUUCAAAAUGGCAAAAAAGCUAUCAACAAAACGGUGCGGAUUUGACAUAAAUCGGAUUUUACUAUGUCAGACGUUGUGCACGUGUCCAACUAUCCUUUUUACUACUACGCGAUGAAUGUGCCGUAAUGCGUGAUAUUUGACGUGUCAAUUUACU
rnacentral:lncRNA from 1 species